AUACAGAGGGUGCAAGCGUUAAUCGGAAUUACUGGGCGUAAAGAGUACGUAGGUGGUUUGUUAAGUCAGAUGUGAAAGCCCCGGGCUCAACCUGGGAACUGCAUUUGAAACUGGCAAACUAGAGUAUGGUAGAGGGGGGUAGAAUUUCUAGUGUAGCGGUGAAAUGCGUAGAUAUUAGAAGGAAUACCAGUGGCGAAGGCGGCCCCCUGGACCAAUACUGACACUGAGGUACGAAAGCGUGGGUAGCGAACAGGAUUAGAAACCCUAGUAGUCC
rnacentral:rRNA from 1 species